AUGUAAAAUGAAUAGAAAAUUUCUUAAUAAUAAUAAAAGAAAGAAGUAAAAAAAACCCUGAAAAUCAAAACAAACAGAAACUCAAUAAAAAGAAAAGUCAAAGCAAAAAGUCCACAUGCUCACAUGUGACCCCCCACAUACACAAUCAAAACAAAACCCCUGUGGAGUUGACCUGUGUGGUGGACCAUUUACUACUGGCAUAGAACCUGGGAUAUAGUUGCUAAACCCAAUGACACACCAUUGGAGAAAACAGAUUUUUCCUAUGCUAGUGGGUAUCAAUUGCUUCUUCGUUAGGGGUGGCACUCCUUGUCUAAUUCCCUCUUGAAGUGCUAAGGCUCUAUCUGGCAUGAACCUAUACUGGUCUUAUGAGUGCUGCCACAGUCCCCAAGGGCUGAUGAGUAUAUAAGUCUUGUGUCUGAAAGGCACUACUUUCUUAGAGUCAUGCAUCACUUCUGGCUCUUACAAUCUUUCCAAUUUCUCUUUUGUAUAGAACCCUGAGCCUUGAGGGGUUUGAUGAAGACGUUCUAUCUAGGAUUGAGUGUUCCAAAAUCUCUUACUCUUUGCACAUUGUCCAGUUGUCAGUCUCAGUAUUAAUUCCCAUCUACUGCAAGAAGACUCUUCUCUGAUGAGGUUUGAGUGAUCUAUGUGUAGAGCAAUAUGUAAUUUUUGCUAUGUUCCUUUAGCAGAAUAAUAGUAUUGGGUAUUUCCCUAGGCCCAUGCCCUAUCUACUCUCAGGUUCUUCGCCUCUUUAGAAGUGUCAGAUAUGGAUUCUACUUUAUGGAGUGGGCCUUAAAUCCAACCAAAAAGUGGUUGGUUAUUUCCAUAACAUUUGUGCUGCUAUUGGACUAGUAUAUCUUGCAGACAGAUCACUGUUGCAGAUCAUGGAGCUUGUACCUGGGUGAUGUUGAUAAUUACCUUUCUCUUCUGGUAGCAUGCAGAGUAUCUUUUAGCUCUGUGAGUGCUAGCCAAUAAUAGAAGUGAAACUGCUAGUUUGGCACCAGCUCAACUUUUCUGUGUUCACUAACAUAAGUAAACGUUGUCUUUAACAGUAGGGCCUCACCAUCAGGUUUUGUAGAACAACCAGUAGCCUUGGCAAUAGCCUGUGAUGUUUAGGGCAUUCCACGGGAUAUCUUUGGCCAAUGACUCAACAAGAUGUAACCCAUUUCUAGCAGUAGAUGUUUUACUUGGUGGCAUUGUCUCCUCCAUUAUAUGGUGAUUCCAUUGGGAUGCCUUCUACAUUAGUAGGUUUCCCUUUGGUUCGCAAGGCUUUAAUGUUAGUUGUUAGUUGGACCUCUCUGUCUUCCCUCUUUUACUCUCUUCUCCCAUGCACUACCCAUUUAAACUCCCUACUAUUCUAGUUUUCCAUUUGUAUCUCCACAAUACUAUAUUCUAUUUUUCAUUCCUACAAAGAGCCUCUCCUGCCCUUUGGUCCCUUACUAGGUACCUAACCUCUGUGGUUUUUCAGAUUGUAUCACACAUAACAUCCAAAUAUAAGAUAAAAUAUAAAAGAUUUGUCUUUUGGGUCUGGAUUACCUCACUCAGGAUUUUUUCUAGCUCCAUCCAUUCACCUGCAAAUUUUAUGAUUUAUUUUUUCUUAACAGCUGAAUAAUAUUUCAUUGUCUUAUUGUACCACAUUUUCAUUAUUCAUUCACCAAUUGAUAGACAUUUAGGCUGUUUCCAUUUUCAGGAUAUUAUGACUAGAACAGUAAUGAACAUGAAUGAGUAAUUCUCUGAGGUAGAAUCUAGAGUCCUUUGGGUAUAUGCCUGAGUGACAUAGCUGGAUCUUUAGAUAGAUCUAUUCCUAGCUUCCAGAGGAACUGCCACACUGAUUUCCAUAGUGGCUAUACCAGUUCACACUCCUACAAGCAAUGAGUAAGUGUUCUCUCUUUCCUGAAUCCUUGUCAGCACAUGGUACUAUUUGUUUUACUGAUUUUGGCCAUUCUGACUGGGGUAAUUAAAAUCUCAAAGUAGUUUUAAUUUAUGUUUCCCAGAUGGCUAAGGAUGUUGAACAUUUAUUUAUGUGUUUUUCAUGUAUUUGUAUUUCAUCUUUUGAGAACUCUUUUCUUAGUUUUCUGUACACCACUUUAAAAAUUGGUUAUUUGUUUUCUUUCUUUUGGUGGGGGUGUUUGAGACAAGGUUUCUCUGUGUAGUUUUGGUGACUGUCCAGGAUCUUGCUCUGUAGACCAGGCUGGCCUCGAACUCACUGAGAUCCACCUGGAUCUGCCUCUCAAGUGCUGGGAUUAAAGGUGUGUGCCACCACUGCCCAGCAGUUAUUUGUUUUCUUGAUGUCCAAUUUUUAUUGUUAUUUAUGUAUUUUACAUAUUAGUCCUCUAACAGAUGUGUAGUUGCUAAAUAUCUUUUCCCAUUCUGUAUCCUGCCACUUUGUCCAAAUGACGAUGUCCUUUGCUAUACAGACUUUUUCAGUUUCAUGAAGUCCCAUUUAUAAUUGUUGAUCUUAGUGACUGUACUAUCAUCUACUUUAUUUUUUGAGACAGUUUUUUUUUGAACUUGGAGCUCACCAGUUUGGCUAGACUAGCUGGCCAGAAAUUCCCAGAUAUUCUCAUCUGCUUCCCCACUACUGGGGUUACAGGUGCAUACCUCUGAAUCUUGCCUUUAUGUAGGUGCUAGGGGCCUGAACUCAGGUCCUCAGAUUUGUUGAGCGAGGACUGUACCUACUGAGCAAACGUCUUCAUUUAUAAACUCAAUCUCAAUGUUUUUCCAUAUUUGUGGUCAAUAGGUGUUAGGUGUAGUUUUGCAAGAUAUAUAGAGUAGGAAGGAACUUAUGUUGGCAAAAAGAUCAGUCUAUUUGGGAUUUAUUUAAAAAACUAUUAGAUGAGUAGAUAUUGGAGUGUAUUGUCUAUUGGUUUUUGAGGUAAUAGGUCUCAGCUUGCUGGGAGGAAGUGAGCAUAAGAUAAAUACAUAUUUUUAGGCUCAUUAAUAUAACACUUGUUAGUACAGUUGAAAAUACUACUCAAUAAUAGAAAUGAAACAUAGAUCCCCAAUUAAGUGAGACAAAAUAAACCUCUUACUAAAGGGUUUUCCAUAUAUAGUGUUUUGGAAAAUACCAAAAGUUCCUGAAUUACUGAACUUUUAGAGGCAAAAAGGGUUUGGGGACUUUAUAACUAUCCAUGAAACAAGGUUGCUGGAGUGUGUCUGCUAUGAUUGGCUGACUUUCUGAAAUAUUGGGCUAUUGUUCAUUGUUUGGCUUUCAAAAACCAUGAUUAUGAAUACAAAAUGUCACUGACCAAAGACUGUGUUUAUAACUAGCUCUGGGCAAUACUUGCUACUAUGCUGAAAGGAAAAUCAGUCUUAAUGGGGAAGAACAAUUUUAUGUUCAUCACUGAUCACUUAGCACAGUGUAUUUUUAGAGCACAGAGCACCCAGUAAGCACCUGCAGAAUAAAUGGGCAGCAUGUAUGGGCCAUAUAAAACACACUGGUUUCUAGUUUGUAGUGAUGAAGCUUCUCUCUAGAGUUUAAAUAGCACCCCCCUGGACUGAACAAUAGCAUUCUUAUCUUUUCCAUAGCCGAACAAGACAUUUUCAUAUUCAUCAUCUCAUAUGACCUUCACUUUAGGCUGGGAAGUAAAGGAAGAUUUAGAAGCAGUCUCAUUUGUGAGAGAUAAAGGGAAUACCCAGUGUUAUGUAGACUCCAUGUUUCUCUUUUAAAGGAGAGUGUUAGAGUAGUAGAACAGAGAUUCCAAUCUGGUGUGAAGACAUGCUGACCUCUCAGCCUUAGGUGGGUCUCGUUUUAGAGUGGUUCAAGCCAUUGCCCAUUUUGCCUCCAUGUGCUGACAAACAUUAUUUCCGAUGUGUGUCCAGUUGUGAAAUGGGGUAAAUACUAUACAGAAGUGCAUUUAGUUCAAAUGUGUAUCUUUAGAGAUGGUCCACAACUCUUGGUGAAGUAAAACUAAUUUAUAUCUGAUUGUGAUGUGUGAAUACAUAAAGUGCUUCUACCCUCUAUCACUCAAAGCUUAGGUAAUAUAAAAACAGGGACAGAGCUACUAAGCUGGGUCGACAGGUAAAGGUGCUUGCUGCUGAUCUGAGUUUUGUUCCUGGAAUCCAAUGGUAGGAGAGACCUGACUCCUGCAGGUUUCUCUCUGACUUCCACAUGUGCCUACACACAUACAUACACAGCCACCUCUGUGCUCCACACACACCUACACACAUACACACAGAGACAUACAAAUAAGUUAGUAAGUAUAAAUGGGCAGUGCCAUACUUUCCUAAUAGGAUUUAAAUAUUUGUGAUAUUUCAUUUAAGGUGUUUGCUUGACUGGACUAAAAGUUACAUGGAUAUUCCAUGAAACAAUAUUCCUUGGUGUGUCUGUGAGGUAUAUCUUGCAGAGAUCAGCAUUCAGAUUGGUGAGCUAAAUGAAAUAGAUGGGCCUCCUCAUUGUUGGUGAGUAUCAUUCCAUCUGAUGUAUAUUUGAAUGCAACAAAAACAUAGAAGUUUGAAUUCAUUCCUCCCUGGCUGCUUGGGUUGGGACAUAGUAUUCUUUCCUUUGGCGUUCUUUAUUUUUAGCUCUCCAGACUUGAAUUAGAAUCAAUUCCAUUAGCUUUCUGCCUGUUGGGUCUUCAAACCACACUAGUGGCCUUCUUGAGUCUCCACUUUAUAGGUGGCAGUUUGGAGGACAUAGCCACCACAGUUACAUAGCUCAUUGUAAUAGGACUUUUAGGACAAAGGCCCUGACCUGGCAGUCCUAACCAAUUAGACUCCACCAGCUAUCCAGCUAUGUCACUUAAGGAGUUGAGUAAUGGUGAAAAGUAGAGAAAGGAAAUUUCAUGAAUGCAUGCAUUGUGAAGAGGUACAGAGAAGUCCAGUGACUAGAGGUUCAUCUUCAAUGUGCUUUAGAUUUAAAUAGAGGAAGAACUGGGGAAAGGAGACAUGCAUGAUUAAGUAGUUCUAGUCACUCUGUGAUCACUCUCUCUGUCUCUGUCUCUUUCUCUUUCUCAGCAGUGCUGUGAAUCUAACCUAGGGCCUUGAGCAUGCUAGGCUAACAUUCCACUGCUGAGCUAUGCCUCUAGUCUCUCAGUAUAUGUAUGGUCUGGUUGAUCAUUAUCUCGAUUCUGGUUCUUCAAGAUAGUCCGAAGAAGCUAUCUUGCUAUCCCUGUCAUUUGUCAUUGUUUGAAAGGAGCAAUGUGGUUCCCAUGAGAUAAUUACUUAUGCUCCAGGAUACAGUCUUACACCAUAUAUAAUUGCCCUCACUUGGAAGGAGUUAUGUCCUGCAAGGCUUUGCUAGUCCUGCAAUUCAAGGUGACUACAGAUUUAGGGCAAUGACUUUUCUCUGUGCUUUUCUCCUUGAAGGGGAAUAAGACAUACAGACAGACAGAUACACAAACAGGCAAAUACAUUGAUUGAUUGAGUGACCUUAGUAUGUCUAUACAGAUUCAAGCAGGAAUCUUACCCAAAGUAAGGGAGACAGACACAAACUGAAGGCAGAGAUGGCUGGCUUUCAUCCCAUUUGUAGUUUUCAGAGGGGUUUAAGUAAGGAGCUAGUGCUCUUUAGCAAGACCAGCUUCUCUUUUUCUCAAAGAAAUGAGAUCCAUUGUGAUAUUUUUAUACAUAUAUAUGUCAUCAUUUUUAUGCACAUCCCCCUGUCCCUUCUUAUUUUCCUUCUUGGAGAUCCCCAGAAAAUCAGUUUCUAAGCACUCAUUGUGUUACUUUAUAAUACAUCUCUUUAUAUUUUAUAGAAAUAGAUGUUUAUUAUCUAUCUGUCUGCCUGCCUGUCUAUCUGUCAUCUCCAUUCUAUUCUCAUCCUGUGGAGAACUGUAACUAACAGACUUUGGUAUUGAGGUUGGUUCUAGAUAAAAUAUUGAUGGUGAGUUUUAUGAAUUGGUCCUAGGGUUUAUGGAACUGGCUCUGAAAUAUAAAGUGAAAUUUAAGGUGCUAAUGAUUCUGUUUGUAGUAAUGAAGAAAGCAUCAGUUGUCUACAUGUAACUUUGCAAAGAAGAUGCACAACAUUUCUGCACUGGAUACUCUUAAUCAGCCAUUUACCACUUAUAGGAAUGAAGGGCUUGGGUAAAUGUGUAUAUAAUGCAGCAGGACAGCUUUGGAAAACCAGUGAGUAAAAUAAAAUCAGCCUUUUACUCCUAAUGUCACUGGACAAAGUUCAGAAAGAAAAACUUGAACUCAAGGACUUGAGUUUCCAACUGAAGUGUCAUGAAAAUGUGUGCCCUGAGGGAGACCUUUUGUUACUGUAUCUUCAGGACUAAGACUGCUGAAGAUCACUCUGGAUGACUUUCCACACAUGCUGAACUUUCAGGCCUGUAGGAUAUGCCAUAUUGAAAUGAAGGCAUUGGUUGAAAAGGAACAAGAUCCUGUAAGUUUGACUGAAGAUGUAUGAGACAACUCUGAUAAAGUUAGAACUCUGAGCCCAUAAAUUCUAGUGAGUCAUCUUUGCUAGUGGAAGUGGUCUCCUCACCAGACUUAGAGAGUAGCCAAUAGAAUACCACCCGUGGUCAUAUUAUCCCUCCUAUCCCUCUAUAAGGGGAUUAACCUGGAGUUACCAGAAGAAAUUAUGAUGAACUCUGAGACAGUUACUAAGAAUAAAAUAUUUAUCUUCACCACCUUCUACAACCCCUAUUUGCUUGCAAACAUAUAACUAUUAAGUCCCUACAGACCUAUAAAUAUAAGGUUCAAAAUAUGAUCUAUGGAGAAGUAGGCAAAAUUCCAAAAUAAUCACUCAAGUUGUCUCAUUUUUACAAGCUUCUGCUGAGAAGGAAAAUAUAGGAAUGGAUACUAAGAAUAUAAGACAAUGUUGGGAGGAGCAUACACUUGGAUUAAAAUUUAUGAAUAUGGACUCAAUAAGUAUAUCACCCAAAAGUUACACCACUAAUCUUUCUCCCAGUCUUCCCCAAGGGAACCUACAGGAUUUUACUAGGGUAACUUUAUACUGUGAAAUUUUAAUAAUAUAACUUUAAGAGUCUAUUGAACAUUGGUUCUGAACUGACACUAGUUCCAGGAGACUAAAAAUAUCAGUGUGAACUAAUAGUUGACCAGAGGUUAGUGAAGCUCAGAUGAUAAAUGGAAUUUUAGCUCAUGGCUAAUCUCACAGUUGAUAAAAUGACUCCUUGAACCCAUUUUGUGGAAACGUGUCAGUUUCAGAAUACAAAAUUGGAAUAGAUGCACUUAACCCUUGUCAGAAUCCAUGAUAGGUCAUUCGUUCAUUGACCUAUGUAUGAGAGCCAUGAUGUAACAAAGGCUAAAUAGAAGCCAGCAGAACUGCCUAUACCCGAAAAAGCAGUAAACUAAAAGCAAUGCUGUUUUCAUAAUAUUGAACACUUUUUAUAAUUAAAAUUAGUUUGAAAUUCACCCCAGUCAGAAUAGCUAACGUUAAGGAAGCUAAUGAGAAGUGUUGCUGAAGAUAUGCGUUAAGGGGAGUCCCUUACUCACUGCUAGUGGGCAAUAUAAACUGGUGCAGUCAUUAUGGAAAUCAGUAUGGAUGUUUCUCCAAAGAAUAAAAAUACAGCUACCAAAGACCCAGGUAUGUCAUUCUUGAAUCUGUGCCCAAAGGACUAAAGUUCUACCACAGUGAUACUUACAUAUACAUGAUUACAGUUGAUCUAGUCACAAUAGUUAGGGAAGGAAGCCAGCCCAGAUAUUUACUCACAGAUGAAUGCAUGAAAAAACUACAGUAUGUAUACACAAUGGAACUUUAUGCAACCAUAAAUAAAAAUGGAAUUAUGACAGUUGUAGGGAAAUAGAUGUAAUUGGAAGUCAUUUUGUUAAGCAAAAUAAGCCAGGCUCCAAGACAAAUAUUGCAUGUCUUCUCUCAUAUGCAGAUCUUAGACUGUAAUUUGUAUGUAUUAUGUGUAUGUAUAUAUGUAUGUAGUGAGGUGUGGGCUAUGAAACUACAAAGGAGAACAUGGGGGAGGGGAGAAAAACCUUUAAGGGAGGGAGAAGAUGAUGGAAAGGAAGAAAGAAAAGGUAAUGGAAUACAUAUGACAUGAAAGCAGAGGCAGUGAGGCUAUUGCGAGGGAGCAAAGGCACCAACAGGAAGAGGUCAGCUGGACAGGAGAGGGGAAUGAGAUGAAUAAGAACAAUGCAUAACUGAAAAUGCCACAAUGAAAACUACAAUUUGGUAUGCUUUCUGAGCAAACCUAAUAAAAAAGCAAUAUCGUUUUUGUGCAGGAGGAUGAAAAAUAAAUCUGACAAGAAUUCAGUGUCCUUAUAUAUCAAUGAAAAUUCUAGAGGUCUGGUGGUAUGGGAUAGAGAUAUCCUUCUAAGGUGAAGAAUAACUGAUUGCAUGUUAGUUCUCCUGCAACUAAAAGAAGGGCUCUGAAUUUUGAAGGCAAUGCAUUUAUCACUUUGAGUGGGUUAUCCUAACCAGCAGUGAAGUGAUCUAAAGUCUGCUCAUUUUUGGUGGGGUCCACAACAGGAGAAGUUUCUGCUACGUAUCCUGAACCAGCUAGCUUGAUAAAACUGGAUGGCCUUUUAAAGUCUCAGUUACACUGUCAUGUAUAUAGCAAUGCCUUGCAUAUCCAGGAGGAUUCUUCUAGAGGGCUUUGUAUAAUUUGUGACAGCAUCCAUAGUGCUCCCAUGUCCAAGACUGACUCGUCCAGGAAUCAAGGGGGUAGAAGCGAGAACAGCAGCACCCACAAUUGUCUCCACUGAUCUAGUAGCCAAAAUUGUACUUCUUAUUCUUGUGGCUUUAUGCUGUUCCUGCUCAAAAGUCUUAGUUGUAAAAGUCAUAGUUGGAACUCUUUCAUCAGAAGAAACAACAGUGAUCAUGUUACUAAAGUUAAGGGUGCUGGCCAGACACUUUGGACUCUUCAUUCCUCUGAAUCUAUAAUAGGUGGAGAACGAGCCUAUGAUGCUGGUUGAGGUGACUUAUCCUGGCUACCUUAUUGGAAUGCUACCUCUGAGUGGAGGUAAGAAAGUACAUGUUUGGAAUACAGAGGACCCUGUAGAGGUUUGAAACAAGGUGAUUCCUUUGGGUGUCUUUUAAGGGUCUGUAAUUAAGAUUCAUGGAAAACUGCCAAGAUUAGUAAUAGUCAAAGCCAUUCAGAAAUGAAGGUUUGGGAGGCUCACAGGGAAAAAGUUCAUGUAGCCAAACAGUAUGUCAGGUAUAUUGAAUAUAUUUUUAGGAUACUUUCUUUUUUUCCUCAAUUAUUUUAUUUGGAAAUCAUUUUUUUCAUACAAUAUAUUUUAAUUAUGAUUUCCUCUCUGCCAACUCCUCCCAGGUCCUCUCCACAUCUCCACAUCCCCACCACCCAACUCUAUAGCCUUUCUUUCUCUUUCUUAUUAGAAAACAAACAGGCACCUAAAAUAAUAAAAUAAGAGAAAAUAAGAACAAACAAAUGAAAAUAGGACAGACAAGCAAGCAAACAGAAUGGGUUCAUCUGCGUGCAAUACAAUUAUAAGCCAAAAACCCCUGCACAUUAAACAAAUACUGACACAAUUAGAUUUAGAAAUAGACAAUUCAACAAUAAUAUUUGGACAUAUCAAUCCUCCACUUUGAAAAACAGGAAACAAGAGAGAAAAAUUGCAAGUUAUUUGUAUUGACCUAAGUGACGUUUAUAGGACAAAGCACCCAACAACAAUGUGAUAAUGUUUUCAUAUAUAUUAUUGCUGCUUCUGUCUUGGAUACUUUUCAUCUCACCAAAGUCAAGUCUGUUUUAUGUACUUGACUUUCCAAAACUUAUGACUGAUUUGAAGUGAGAACCUUUCAAUUUGUUAGUAACAUGUUUAGAAAUGAAUUGAGAUAACUUUUUGUUUUGUUGUUUGCUAUUCAUUUGUUAUUUUAGGGAAUAUUACACCCCAGAAAUUGACACUGAUUGCAGUUACAGGGAGUGACAGAGGCUGACAGAUUGUUGUCAUGUUUCCAGUUAGAGUUAAGCAGGGAAGUUUUUUCAAACUCAUAAAAGCUAAUUACAGUUGAUGCACUGAUAUAGAGUUAGGCAGAAGUACAGAAUUCUCCUUUAGCUUUUUUUUGAUAUUAGAAGCAGUGUUGGGGACUGCAGAGAUGGCUCAGCAGUUAAGAGCACUUGUUGCUCUUGGAGAGGACCCGAAUUUAGUUCCCAGCACCACACAGUAACUCAUAAAUAUCUAUAACUCCAGUUCCAGGGGAUCCAAUGUCUUCUUCUGAGAUCUAUGGCGCACAUAUAUGCAUUUAGGCUAAACACUCAUACACAUCAAAUACAAUAAUCUUAAAAAGCAGUAGUAUGUAGCUAGAGUUUUCCGGCCUGGCCCACAAUCAGGACAAAUCUCUGACACCCGCCAGUCCCACAGCCGCUCAGACCCAACCAAGGAAACACAGAGACUUAUAUUGCUUACAAACUGUAUGGCCAUGGCAGGCUUCUUGCUAACUGUUCUUAUAUCUUAAAUUAAUCCAUUUCUAUAAAUCUAUACCUUGCCACGUGGCUCGUGGCUUACCGGCAUCUUCACAUGCUGCUUGUCAUGGUGGCGGCUGGCAGUGUCUCCCUUCCACCUUCCUGUUCCCUCAAUUCUCCUGUCUGUUAAUCCCGCCUAUACUUCCUGCCUGGCCACUGGCCAAUCAGUGAUUUAUUUAUUGACCAAUCAGCAACACAUUUGACAUACAGACCAUCCCACAGCAGUAGUAUUAAAGAUAAUUUUUAAUAUAUAGAAAAGUAGAGGGAACAGUGCCAGGACCCCCAUAUACCCAUUAGCUGGCUCUAACUAUCAUCACUUCAUUGUGACCCUUGCUUUGUUUAUACUCCCUUACCUAUUCUUCAUUAAUUUAUUACUAGGUCUAGAUAUUAUAAAAUCCCCUUUUGUAAAAUCUUGUAGUCAGGCAGAGGUACAUGCCACCCAUGCAUUGAGUUAUGAGUUGGGAGGUCAAACCUCUGAUUACUAAGGAAUAAUGUAAUUUUUCUUGGCCUCAGAUUCUUUCUGUGUAAAAAAAGAGGUUUAGUCUUCACAUUGGCUCUCCACAACGUCUACACUGUACAUUAGAGUCAUUUAAAGAUCUAUAGGAAAUUAUGGAACCUUUUGAGAGAGUGACCUUUCUUUAAUAUUUAAAGGAGAAGGGGAAUGAAAAGGUGGCUCACUGCUCCUUCAUUAUAGUGAUUGCUGUUUGUGUUUCUAAUACCUGCAAAAUAGUAGGUAAAAUAUAUUUUGUUACUUUAUCACUGUACUUACAUUAGAUCUAUAUUAAUACCUUAAGUCAUUAUUAUUAGUUACCUAAUUUUGCCAAAAUCAUUCAUUUCUAAAAAAAUUAUCAUAUAUAAGUGUGUGUGUUUAUUUUGCAUGAGUGCAUGUGCUUGCAUUGAGAUGUUUUUCUAGGCCCCCACCCUCAAAUUAUACUUGUUUUUGUUGUUUACAGUUUGAUUUUUUUCUUCUUGGUUUAAUAUGUAUUUCUGAUAUGUUGUAGGAAGGAAGACAGGAUUACUUGUAGUGUGCAGUGCUUAAAAGAAAGUACUUCAGUGUAAUGAUAGCAUGGAUUAAAAAAAUCAAUUACCUUAAAUUUAUAUUGUAUCUUUCCUCUGAAAUCUCAAGCCCUUACACAGAGACUAUAAAAUUAUGGGAACCCAGGAGCUAAGCCUUGGUGGAAAGAGUGCUGUAUCAGAAAAAAAAAAAAAAAAACAAAAACCAUGUUCUGUUAAAUGCAGAAUCUUUCUACUCCAGACCCAAUGAAGCACAAUGUGCAUUUUAUUUUAUUAUUUAUUAAAAUAUAUGUGAUUUGUAUUAACAUAUACUAAUUGUAAAAAGAAAUAGGUUUUGUUGUCACAUUCCAUAUAUGCAUAAGAUAUUUGUGGCUCCUUCUAUUAUCUUAUAUCCUCUUUUCUCUCCCCUUCCCUUUCCCUCCUAAAUCUCUAAUAGUCUCUCUUUAGCUUUUAUGUCCUUUCCCUGGAUGUCACAAAUGAGAGAAAAUGUCACACUUUUCUUUUUGAUAAUUGGCUUAUUUCACUUAACAUAAUUGAUCUCAGAAUAUAUAUUUAAAAAAGAGAUCUGGUGCUAGCAAAAUUUCUCAGCAUGUAGAAGCACUUGCUGUUAACCCUGAUAACCUGAGUUUGAUCUCCAGGACCUACAUGGUAACCAGAGAGAACUGACUUCCUGAAGUUGUCCUGUGAGUUCUACAUGUGUACAUGGCAGCCCACCAUGAGGUAGACAACUUUGCCUCAUCCCAAGUCCCUCCAUGAUGUUCUCCCUCAACACAGGCCCCAAAUCAACAGAACCAGCCAACUACGGAUGAAGCCUCUAAAUCGUGGACCCAAGUUAAGUUUCUCUUUUCUGUUCUACCCAUGAGCUAACAAUCUAGUUGGGAGGAAAGAAGAAGAAAAAUAUUCAUGUUUGCGGAAAUGGACACUCCUGGAUUAGAAGACAAAAAAACCAUUUGGCUCCAGUUCUGCUAAAUAUUACUUGAGAUUUUAAAAAGUGGUCCAACUUUGCUGGAACCUGUGUUUUCAACUCAAUGAAAUUGGACUUAUGUGUUUCUGCCUUGACUCUCUUGGAAUUGUUAAAGGGUCUAGAGAGAUGGCUCAGUGGUUAAGAGAACUUGCUGCUCUUCUGAAGGACCUGAGUUCUGAUCCUGACACUGACAGUGGAUGCUCCACGAUUGCCUGUAAACUCUAACUCCAGGGUCUCUGACACCCUCUGGUUUAUAUGGAUACUCACAUGCAUAUGACAUGCACACAGAGACAUACACAUAAAAUAAAAACAAAUAUUUAAAACAUGAUUUGCUAAAAAUGAAAUCAUAAAAUUUGCAGGUAAAUAGAUACAAGUGGAAAAUAUACUGAGUGAGAUACCCCAGAUCCAGAAAGACAAAUGCUGCCUGUUCUCUCUUAUUUGUAGUUCCAAGCUCUGAAUCUUUAGAUUUGCAUAUACAACACGAGGUAAUCGAAUAAGCCAGGGAAGUAGAAAGGGGUCAUAGAGAGGGAUGAAAAGGGAACUCUAGAAUGGGGGAGAGUAGGAGGCCGGUGCAAUGAAGAAGUUAAUGGGAAAAUAGGGAGACUUUAACUGCAGAAGUGGGUAAAAGGUUAAUAUAGGAAGGAGUGAUAAAUAACACCAAAGAUGCUUGAAAAAGCCAUAGAGAAACAUAUUAUAAACUUACUUAAAAUGCAUACAUUCAUACAUACAUACAUACAUACAUGCAUACACAUGUAUAUAUAUGUACAUAUGUAUGUAUGCAUAUGUGUAUGUUUUUAAUUGAGUUAUGCCACAUGGGAUGAUGGUGCUUACCCCAAGAGCCAUGCACUAUCUAACCUCAGUGCCAGGCAUGGGAAACCUCCCCUUAACUUGUUGGUUGGGAGUUUACAACUGUCUCCCAAAACAAUAUGAACUGUUAUCGUUGCUCUUCAUUGUCUUCUAGAACUUGAAGGUAAGGGCUGUAUUGCUGGAUAUACCACAGGGCUUCAAAGAAUCAAGUUGGAACAGGCCUGGGUGCAUCUUUACUGAUGACUGGCCCUCAUAUUACCAGAGGGUACUAUGCUAGCUGCCAAGGGAAUAGAAUAAUCAAUAGUCCUACACAGUUAUGGAGCCUAUGAACUACAGCAAUGAGUGACCCAGAAAGAAGCUCCCAGUGUUGCAAUAGUGGCACUUUUUUCUUGGUAGUAACCAACAUCUGUCUAACUGGACUUAAGGCCCACUCAACAGGAGAGAAUUAAUGACUGGUGCUGUAAACCUAGUCAACUACCCACAGCUAGAUAAUUUAUAAACCCUAAAGGAAAACAUAUUACAGCCAUUUUCCUAACUAAUAUAAUACCUAACUAUAAUUUAAGUACUUAUCCUUAUGCCCACAUAUAAGUGUAGCUCUCACUCAUCAUCAAAGAAGCUUCUUCUCCUCCUCCUCCUUCUCCUCCUCCUCUUCCUCUUUCUCCUCCUCCUCCUCCUUCUUUUUAAACAAAUGGCGACUAUUGCAAAGAUCUACAACAGGUCAAAAUGUAGAGAAUAAGAGACCUUGGGGGGCUAACUCCCAACGAAUAUAUCUACAAUGCCACCUCUACACCUAAGACUCAGGGAACAUUGCAUAAAAGGGGAUGGAAAGAUGACAUGAGCCAGAGGACCAGGACACCUGCUGUGAGACAGUGUUCUCUAGAAUGCCAGGGAAAAGGGAAAAUUCACCCAUAUUUUCUCAACAGUAUGGUUGCCUGAACAAGAUGGGCAUACUGGUAUCAAUUGAUAUGCCAACAUGGACAGGAGAAAUUUCACAAUAUCCCACUCCUAGAUGAACUAUGGGUGCUCAAUGGAUACUGAGAGGAGAAUCAGUUUCCUCCAGGGACACACACACACACACACACACACACACACACACACACACACACACAGAGUAUCUGUAUUACAUAUGUAAUAUAUAAUAUAUGUGUGUAUUAUAUAUCUAAUAACUAAAAGAGGCCAUGAAUUUGGGAGGGGGAAACAUGGAAGGAUUUGAAAGGAGAGGGAGGAGUGGGAGUGAUGUGGAUACAGUGCUCAUGUAUAAAGUUCUAAUAAAAUAUUUUUAAAGCCAUUAAAAUGAUCAAAAGAGCUAUUGUAUAUGAGCAGUGAACGUGCCAAGGCUGUGUACAUAUGAGUUCUUAUGUUUUAAAUUUGAGAUGUCCCUGAUGGAUUCACAUUUUUCAUGUUUAGUCCCCAGCUUGUAGUGCAAAUAUGAAGGCUGUGGAACCUUUGGGGGAUCAUCCUGGCUUGCAGACAUAGGCCUCUAGGAGUGGGCGCUUGAAGGUUUAACCAGUCUGCCAUCUCUGCUCCUGAUCCACUAUUGUGUCAGCACAUGUUCCCAUCAUCAUUGACUGACUGAGCUGCUCUGUUUGGCCUUCUCUGUACAAUAGACUAUGAUCCUCACAAACUGUGAACCCAAAUAAACCUAGGUAUUUUGUCUCAGUGAUGAUAAAAGCAACUAA